CAUUGUUGAAGUCCAUACAGUAACAUGCAACUUCAUUUGGUCUCUGUAGGAUAGUUGUCUCGCAUCUCUUCAUUUCAUAACAAAUCAAUUUGUAGGUUCUAUAAAGUGGGCCGAUGACGAAGGUAAGGGAAAUUUUGACUGCCAACUGAGAGGACAUGUUGGGCAGAAAUUAAGCCUUGCAACAGGCCACCUACUGACCCCUCAAAGACUUGUGGCAAGGGUUCUUUAACGUGCAGAGUGGCACUGUCCCUACACAUAGGAACUAUACUUUUUAAAUUGCCAUUCCAAUUUUUGUUUGUUUUAAACAUGAUAACUUUAGAAGACUUUAAAGCGGGGGUCAUAAAAAAUAUUACAAUAAUCCCACCUUUUACACCACCCUCAAUGUUUAUUAUCUAGAACUCUGUUUACAAACAAUUUUGUUUUCAUAUAUUAUUUUUUGGUAUUUUCUUUUUUGAUAUUUUUUUGAUAUUUUUUUUUACAGAGCUCUAGAUAAUAAAAAUAUCAGAUGUUAAAGGUUAGAGGUAUUAAUAAAGUCAUUCUAAUUCAGAAUAUUGCAAAAUUUUAAUGUUAGUUGAUUUUCUCAUUGUUGAAGUCCAUACAGUAACAUGCAACUUCAUUUAGUCUCUGUAGGAUAGUUGUCUCACAUCUCUUCAUUUCAUAACAAAUCAAUUUGUAGGUUCUAUAAAGUGGGCCGAUGAUGAAGGUAAGGGAAAUUUUGACUGCCAACUGAGAGGAGGAUAUGUUUGGACAGAAAUUAAGCCUUGCAACAGGCCACCUACUGACCCCUCAAAGACUUGUGGCAAGGGUUCUUUAACGUGCAGAGUGGCACUGUCCCUACAUAGGAACUAUAUACUUUUUAAAUUGCCAUUCCAAUUUUUGAUUGUUUUAAAAAUUAUAACUUAAGAAGACUUUAAGGCGGGGGUCAUAAAAAAUAUUACAAUAAUCCCACUUUUACACCACCCUCAAUGUUUAUUAUCUAGAACUCUGUUUACAAACGAUUUUGUUUUCAUAUAUAUUUUUUUUUUUGGUAUUUUCUUUUUUUAUAUUUUUUUUUAUAUUUUUUUUUACAGAGCUCUAGAUAAUAAAAAUAUCAGAUGUUAAAGGUUAGAGGUAUUAAAAAAGUCAUUCUAAUUCAGAAUAUUGCAAAAUUUUAAUGUUAGUUGAUUUUCUCAUUGUUGAAGUCCAUACAGUAACAUGCAACUUCAUUUGGUCUCCGUAGGAUAGUUGUCUCGCAUCUCUUCAUUUCAUAACAAAUCAAUUUGUAGGUUCUAUAAAGUGGGCCUAUGAUGAAGGUAAGGGAAAUUUUGACUGCCAACUGAGAGGAGGAUAUGUUGGACAGAAAUUAAGCCUUGCAACAGACCACCUACUGACCCCUCAAAGACUUGUGGCAAGGGUUCUUUAACGUGCAGAGUGGCACUGUCCCUACACAUAGGAACUAUAUACUUUUUAAAUUGCCAUUCCAAUUUUUGUUUGUUUUAAAAAUGAUAACUUUAGAAGACUUUAAGGCGGGGGUCAUAAAAAAUAUUACAAUAAUCCCACCUUUUACACCACCCUCAAUGUUUAUUAUCUAGAACUCUGUUUACAAACAAUUUUGUUUUCAUAUUAUUUUUUGGUAUUUUCAUUUUUUAUAUUUUUUUUACAGAGCUCUAGAUAAUAAAAAUAUCGGAUGUUAAAGGUUAGAGGUAUUAACAAAGUCAUUCUAAUUCAGAAUAUUGCAAAAUUUUAAUGUUGGAUGAUUUUCUCAUUGUUGAAGUCCAUACAGUAACCUAUUUUACAUCAACAUCAUUUGGUCUCUGUAGGAUAGUAAUGUCUCGCAUCUCUUCAUUUCAUAACAAAUCAAUUUGUAGGUUCUAUAAAGUGGGCCGAUGAUGAAGGUAAGGGAAAUUUUGACUGCCAACUGAGAGGAGGAUAUGUUGGACAGAAAUUAAGCCUUGCAACAGGCCACCUACUGACCCCUCAAAGACUUGUGGCAAGGGUUCUUUAACGUGCAGAGUGGCACUGUCCCUACACAUAGGAACUAUACUUUUUAAAUUGCCAUUCCAAUUUUUGUUUGUUUUAAACAUGAUAACUUUAGAAGACUUUAAAGCGGGGGUCAUAAAAAAUAUUACAAUAAUCCCACCUUUUACACCACCCUCAAUGUUUAUUAUCUAGAACUCUGUUUACAAACAAUUUUGUUUUUAUAUAAUUUUUGGGUAUUUUCAUUUUAUAUAUUUUUUUUUUAUAUUUUUUUACAGAGCUCUAGAUAAUAAAAAUAUCGGAUAUUAAAGGUUAGAGGUAUUAUCAAAGUCAUUCUAAUUCAGAAUAUUGCAAAAUUUUAAUGUAAGUUGAUUUUCUCAUUGUUGAAGUCCAUACAGUAACCUAUUUUACAUCAACAUCAUUUGGUCUCUGUAGGAUAGUAAUGUCUCACAUCUCUUCAUUUCAUAACAAAUCAAUUUGUAGGUUCUAUAAAGUGGGCCUAUGAUGAAGGUAAGGGAAAUUUUGACUGCCAACUGAGAGGAGGAUAUGUUGGACAGAAAUUAAGCCUUGCAACAGGCCACCUACUGACCCCUCAAAGACUUG